rnacentral:rRNA from 1 species
GAUGAACGCUGGCGGCGUGCCUAAUACAUGCAAGUCGAGCGCUGAAGGGUGGUACUUGUAUCAAUUGGAUGAGCAGCGGACGGGUGAGUAACGCGUGGGUAAUCUGCCUUUGAGCGGGGGACAACAUUGGGAAACGGGUGCUAAUACCGCAUAAAAAUUUUAAACACAAGGUUUAAGAUUGAAAGAUGCAAUUGCAUCACUCAAAGAUGAUCUCGCGUUGUAUUAGGUAGUUGGUGAGGGUAAGGGCCACCAAGGCCAUGAUACAUUGGCGGCCUGGGAGGGUUGACCGCCAACAUUGGACCGGGACAACGGCCCAGCCCCCUACGGGAGGCACAAUUGGGAAACCUUGGCCAAGGGGCGAAGUCUGGACGAAGCAAGGCGGCGUGGUUGAGGAGGGUCUCCGGUUCGUAAAACCCGUUGAUUGGGGAGGAAGUUAGUUAGAGUGAAAAGCUCACAAAGUGACGGUACCUACACAGAAAGCCACGGCUAACUACGUG